AGAAAUGUUAUGGUUUAAUCAUAAGGGACUUGAGAAAUGAAAUUUCUCUUCCUUUCUCUUACUCUCUCCUCUAUUUAAUGUCCAAACAAGAGAAUUGAAAGAAAUCAAGUUUCUUUUCUUUGUUCUUCAUUUCCCUUAAUCCAAAUAAAGGGUUAAUAUAAGGGAUCAUACUUUCAUGUCUUCAUUUUCUUUAAAGUAGUAACAAAUUACAAUGACCAUUUCAUAAGAGAUGUUGAAAUAGAAAUAGUGAAGUUAAGCACUACAAGAAAUAACAACCUAUUAAUUCAUAAGAAGGUGGUGUAAUGCCAUAACCCUAGUGAAUUGGAGAUAUAGGAGAGCACCAAAAGACUAAAACAAUGAAAAGAAAACCCUGAUUCCCAUAUUUUUGACAAUUGAAGGGGUUAGUGCUUGAAUGUUGUUGUUAUUGUAUUUUACCUGUUUACUAAAAUGGCUGGGAUUAAAAGGAUUUUCUGUAUCAGGUUUCGUCACAAACAUACAGUCUGGAUGCAAAUCUAUGCCUUCUUCGCCUCUAUCAGUUUGAACCAGAGCGACUAAGCACUCAAAUUGUUGCUCGCAUUUUGGUUA
rnacentral:misc_RNA from 1 species